GCCUGCGCAGUGCGAGCGCCGGUGCCACCAUGGCGGUGCACUACUGCGCGCUGUGCCGCCGCUCCUCCUUCUCCGGCCGCCGGCACCUGUACAGCGCCGCGCACCGGCGGCGGCUGCGGGAGGCGCUGGGCCGGCUGCAGGAGGAGGUGGCAGCGGCGCGGGCGGCGGCAGCGGGCGGGGAGGAGGGCGAUGGCGGCGCGGCCGUGCGGCGCUACGACCCGGCGGAGCACGACCGGCGCGUCUGGUGCCCGUGCUGCGGGCGCGGCGUGCGGCGGGACGGGCGGCGGGGGCCGCUGGCGCUGCCGCGGGCCGCGCUCCUCCAGCACCUGGCCGGGUGAGCGGCGGCGGGGCGGGGGGGGGGGGCGGGAGCGGGCGUGCGGGCGGCGCUGACCGGGUCGCGCAGGCCCGAGCACCGCCGGGAGACGGCGCGGUUCUGGCGGGAGCACCGGGCAGAGGCGGCGCUGCGGGAGCAGUGCGUGGUGCCGGCCGAGGAGUACGAGCGCUAUGCGCGGGCGCUGGAGCGGGCGGUGGCCGCGCACCAGCGGCGGGAGGAGGAGCGCAUCCGUCAGAUUGCAGCUGACAUCCGGGAGGCCGAGCGCAGGCAGCGGGAGACGGUGUGGGCCGCCCUGCAGGUCGGUGAGCCCUCCAAACAGAGCCAGAGCCUCGCGCAGGACCUGCCCCCUAUGGCCCCCCAGCAGCACCUGAGAGGGACACCUCUCAUGAUGCAGAGCAGCCUGGUCCGAGCAGGAUGCAGACAGGACCUGACUUAAACUGGAUGGAGCCCAGCCAGGCUUUGACCUUCAUCGGCCACCAGGAUACAGAAGGGAAAGGGAACGUUCACACAGGUACUCACGCCUGCAACUCGCUCGGCUGGUGCCCUGCUGAAAGCUCUUGGCUUGUCAGCGUCACAGGGGUAACUCAGAGUUACUUUGAAGCAGCCACGGCACAAGCAGGAGGUGCUCGUGCCUUUGCUGAUAAGUGACAUGCUAGCGGAGAAGAAAAAGGUUCGGUAUUUCAAAAACUCAGUUGGCACUGUGUAGAACGUACGGUUUGGGGUAUGCUCCGCCACUGCCCAGCAGAGCAAAGCCCCAGGGUUACUUGUCCUUCACUGCUUGCUGGGUGGGGCAAGCUGCAGGGAUGAGGGAAAGGAGGAUGCUUCUCCCCAUUGCAAGUUUAGGAUAACUACAGUAGCUAAAUACAUUUUCUCUGUGACUUCUAGGCGCAAAACCUCCGUGGCUAAUGGAGGAGGAGGAGGAAGAGGAUGGAAGCAAACAACUAAUUGGACCUUCAUAUGAGGAAUUUCUCAAACAAAAAGAGAAGCAGAAGCUGAAGAAGCUGCCCCCCGAGCGUGUGGGUGCCAACUUUGACCAUACCUCUCAGACUGGCGACGGCUGGCUCCCUUCCUUCGGGCGCGUGUGGAAUCAUGGCAGGAGGUGGCAGUCCAGACGUCAAUUUAGAACUGAAUUGGGGGAAAAGAAGAAAAAAAGAUGAUCAGGAGAGGAGCAGGGAAGAAAGCAAGCUCUGACUGUUGCGGGAUGGUGGACUGUAGGAAGCUGCAGCUUUGUCAGUGCUGCUGUGCAAAGUUCGGAUGUGUUUUGUGCCUGGCCACCGUGCAGCACUGCCACUGACAGCAGCUCUCUCAGGGUUGUCACAGCAGAUCCAACCCCCUGUGAUGGAGAGGCAGCAUGGACCUGGGCAUCAAUUUCUGGUCUUAAGCUACACUGAGGCAGAUCCUGCCAGCACAGAAGGCUCCUGCCUAUGCUGCAUCUUCAUUGUCACAAAGCCCAGCUUAAACAAGACGUGGUGCCCGCGUCCUGUGCCAAUCUGUAGCAUCACAUCCCAUUAAAGACAAUGUUUUGAGAAAUAAAUUUCUUUUUUUUAAAUGA